CAGAGUCGAGUACACCAAUGAUCACAUCUUGACCAAAACCAGAAGCAGGCCAUAGCCCAGAAGCAGGAUUGAGGUUAAGAAACUUAGAGGAAUGUGUUGUGUGAGCUUCAACAGGCCUAUCUUUAUAAGCUGAAAGGAAACCUGGUGACUUCUUGAGAGCUUCAAAUUCAUCUUUAGACAAAACAACAUUGAAGCCAUGAAGCACAUUGUCGUAAGAAUAAAGAAGCUUUGGAACUGGAUGGUAGCCAUUUUGUGUAGUGGGAGCUUCAAUCUUGAUGGUAUCAAUAAUGGAAGAAUGCCAGUUUUGGUGAGUAGCAAAUAUUUUAGGCAUAAAAGUCUUGUCCAAAUGGACAAUGUAAGUAGACCUCUCUGCUAAUAAUAAAGAAGGGCCAAAAAGAAACCAAGAAAAGAGAAGAAAAGGUACUCCUCUCAUAGUUUUUUCUCUACACUUUGUGUUUCCUACUAUAACAAAGCCUCCUUAUAAUAUACACCCUUAUGAAACAGCCAUUGUUGGUUAUCUGUCUUUUUCUAUAACAGAAGAAAAGAUUUUGUGAAGUAGAUAGUGCAAUUUGACCAAUCGGUUAGCUGUCAUUUUCCAAGACUUGUCUGUUGAGUCAGUGGAUCUGUGGAGACUUUUGCUAGUUGUGUGCUCACCUAUGUUGGUUGGACUAUUCAAACAUGCCGCUGUAUGUGUGUCGGAUCCUUCAAAAAUAAUGCUUUUUUGGAGGAUCCGACACAGGUGCAGCAACACUUUUAAAAAGUCCAAGCAACAUAGGUGUUAACUACAUUCAAAAAUUCAGCUGAAAUAGUUAGUUGGUAAACCUAUGAGAACCGUCCAUUAUCUUUUCUUCGUUUGAUCAGGACCAUACCAGUAAUACAACACAUCCGACCCAACUAAUUGGGUGAUUUGUUAUUAUUAGUGUUAAUUUAGGACUGAUUUGAGUUUAAAUAUUUUUUCACUAAUUUAGUUUUUUGAAAUUUAUUUGUAAUUGCACUUUCAAAAUUUGCAAAUUAGUUGAUUUCAUAACUUUUAAAUAAAAUUAAAAAGGAAGAAACUGAAGCUAAUAAAGCUAGAUGAAAAAUUCGUUGAGGAUGAAGAUUUUUUUUUUUAUUGUAGAUGGAAAACUCUUCAACAUCUAUCAAUGGAGAUUUUGGAGAAGAUGGGAAGUAGGUCUUUUAAUAAAGAAGAAAACUCAAAUUGAAUGUGCCACGUGACAUUUUUACAUUGGUUUGAGGGUGUAUUUUUACUCCUCCACAUGCCUAUCAAACGUGAGAACACAACUGUUGUGAAAAUGGGUCAAAAGUGUUUAUUUAUUGUGAUUUAAUUGAAUUUCCUUGGCUUCUUCAUGCAUUUACUUUUUUAUAUUUUGAAUUCUUUUAGUGAAAAUUCUGACAUGACCACUAUAGUUAAUACCGCAGAGGUGGGCAAACAUUGUUAUGUCAAGAACAUAGACAUAUCGCUACAUGUCAAAAGAAAUUUAAACACAAAAAAGAAUCAUUUUCCCAAAAGAUCGAGCUUAUUUCAUCUCAGUUCAAUCUUCUCGUGAACAAAACCUACUACUUAUGCUUGCUUGGUAACUUGAUGUACUCUAAAGAUAUGUGAUAUCAUGUUUCCAGUUUCUUCAACUCGAUUCAAAUCAAGUUGACAAACUUACAGGUGUCUAAUUUCCCUAAUUUAUUUUCUCUAAUUUGGUUGUGUUAAUUUCAGUUUAGAAUUAUACAACUCUUCUUCAAAUUUUAAGCGGGAUUUUAUUUUGUAAGAACAAAACACUUUAUGAAACUAUGCCUAAUUAAGUCCUUUUCGUUCCUUUUCCGAUUCCUAUUCCUAUUUGGAUUCCGAUUCAAACUAGAUUUAUAGUUACAUAUUUUCUUCAAUAUAAAUAUACACCUUGAUUUCACAUAUGAUUUGUCUCUCAAUUUUUAAUUUUCUUCUUACUUUCUCCAAUUAAAAGAACAGAUCCUCAUCCUGAUACAGAAGACAUCGUGAAUUGGAAUCUUGAUAUUACAUGGAUUUUUCUAAGCAUAGGCCAUACAAUAACAAUGACAUAAUUGGCCGUGAAGAACUACCACGAAUUUCAGCCAAAUCAGGCCAUCAAAGGCUGAGAGAGAGAUUAGAAUUAUACGAAUUCGUAGAACAAGAAGUUUCAGGAGAUGGCAACUGUCAAUUUCACUCAAUUUCGGAUCAAAUAUAUGGGAGUUGUGAGCAUCACAAAUUAGUAAGGGAACAAGUUGUUAAACAACUAAAAUUUUAUGGAGAGUUGUAUGAGGGGUUUGUUGCAGUGGAAGAGUAUGAUGAAUACUUAAAGAGAAUGAGCAAUUGUGGUGAAUGGGGUGAUAAUGUAACUCUGCAGGCUGCUGCAGAUUCAUAUGGGGUUAAGAUAUUUGUCAUUUUUAAGGACACCGACUACAUUGAGAUUCUUCCGCAAAGUGAUUGUAACCACAAGUCGAACAAGAUGAUUUAUUUGAGUUUUUGUGCUGAAUUGCAUUACAAUUCAAUGUAUCUACAAGGAGAGUAUUCAGCUGGAGAAACCUACUGGUGGGCAUAGAUACCGAAGAACCGAAUCAAAGUGAUUUUUUUUUUAAACAGAGCAACAAUUUCGAAACGUAUAUUGUAUUAAAUAUACGGUUUUGCCAAUUAUAGGCCUUCACUCUUUAUUUAUAUAUUAUUUUCGUAUGAUUUUUGUAGUUAUUAGCUCUUCUAUUAUUAUAAUUUAUUUAUUACAUGCAAUGCUUUUGUGCCAAAAAAAGAAGAAGAGAAGUUAUUGAAUUGAUUUUUUCAAUCGUUUUUAUUUAAUUUUCAGGUUUUAUACCAUGAAUAAAUCUGUUAUUGACAAGGCAAAAUUAUUCAUGAAGUUUCUGCAUAAUAUGCUCUAUCGAAUUUUCUUGAGACGUAUAAUCAUGAAUUUUCUGCAUCAAGAGGUAUUUAUAAAUAGAGCAUGUAUAACAUGGUGGAGAUAGGAUAUUCACCAAUGUUGUUAAUGGAUGUUUUAUUUAGUACGGACAAGUUAUGCAAAUAUCGGCAUUUUUCGUUUUUAGCUCAAUUUAUUUAAAUUACUUAAAAUGAUCCUUCAGACCUAUUUUUUCCAAAAUAAUUAUCAUCUUCUUUUCCUUUAUAAUUCGACGUAUCGCAACAAGUUUUCGUGGCAUUGAAAAUUAUCUGCAACCAAAAUAAAUAAAGGAAAAUGUGAUUUUUAUUGAUGAAUCUUGUGAGUACAAUCGUGUUGUUCUCUUGUUUUUUCUCUCCUAAACUUCUCCGUGAUUCGAGGGCUUCAAUACCGUAUUUCUCUAAUGUAGGAUUAUGUAGACCUCCUUGAGAUGUAUUUGAUCUCCGGGAAAGUCGGAAAACACUUGGUUGUUUCAAGGCAAAAUUAUGCAUCAAGUCUCUGCAUAAUAUGCUGUAUAGAAUUUUGUUGAGAUCGUAUAAUCAUGAAAAGCCAGCGGUAUGAAUGUUAUAACAGAUUAAUGAUCUCUAUCUUGAUGACUAGUGAAGUGAAAAUUCUGUUCUGUGGUAAAGUAAGUUUUCCCCCCUCUUCAAUCCAUAUGAUUAAAUGAAGCUAAUCGGUUUUCUGUUUUCGUGUAGCUCUGCUAGUCAUAAUUCUUUCGAAAUGUCUGGGAAUACACAGAAACUAAGGCAUCUUAGGCACUAUAAAUUUUCUAGUUUCCUCACUCUUUACAACAAGCGGAUUAGAAUUUUCAGUUGUUCUAGCAUUACAUCUUUUAUGCAGUCAUAGAUUUUGCCAUGAGUUCAUUAAGUGGAUAUACUACUUUAUCGUGAUAUCGCCAACAGAUAUCUAAUGAGUUGAAUUCAACAUCUGCUUAUUUUAGUUCUUGUAGCAAAAAAAUGUUAGACAGAAAUAAAGUCAUGCUUUAUUGACAACUCAAAUGCAACAGUUCCAAUUUCAACAGUACUCUCUUGGAGAGUUACAAACUUAGAAAUGCAACAGUUUUGCCAACUGCAGCAUUUCAGGUCCAGGCAUCAAGCGCUGGAGCAACUACUAUAGGACUUCUUACGGUGUGAUGACCGUUCUCUUCAACCCAAGUGAUUGAACCAGAUUGUGCUUGGUCAUCUGCAAUGCCUUUGUAACGUAUGGUAAGAGUGUAGUCCUGCUUCUGAUUUUUCUUCUCAAACACUAAGGUUUGUGGAGAGAUGGAAAUUGUCGAGCUUUUUGGUGCUAUCACUUUUGCUACAUACUUAGCUGCACCGGCUCCAACAUUUGUGACUGUCCGCCUGAAUUUCUUCUCCAACCUAGAGUAUUUCCCAAUUGGGCUAAAGAGAGCAAUAAAUGAUGGGUAAUUGAUAUCAUCAGAUGGAUUUGAACAGUUGUGUUUAGCUGAUGAUCUAGCAAUUGUAUUGAAUUGCUCUAGUGUAAAAUUCAUGGAGCAGAGAAGAUUCACAUAGUCUUGUGGAGUGGCAUCAUAUAUCAGGCCUGGAUCAACUGCACGGUUUGGAUCAACAAGUCCGGCUCCCAUAGCUAAUGAUGUAGUAUUGCUGUUACCAUCCUCGGUUUUGAUGGGGUUUUUAGUAUUAUCCAAAUGGUUGGCAGUGGUCAUCAUGGCAGAUCGAAUAGCUGAAGGACUCCAAUCAGGAUGUGCUCCUUUAAGCAUUGCAGCGAUUCCAGCAAUGUGAGGAGCAGCCAUGGAAGUACCUGAUACAAGACGGUAAUCACUACCCAAAAAUGUAUUGACACCAAUAACUGUAUCUGAAUUGUUUGAUGGCCAGGCUGCUAGAAUUAACUCUCCUGGUGCCAUAAUAUCUGGCUUUGCUACUUGCAGAUAGCUUAGAGAGGGGCCUCUCGAGGAAAAUGCAGAAACAGCCGGAGCAGGCUUUACAUCAAUACGUGUUCCCUGGAAACUGAGGCUGACUUUUGGUUUAGCACUUUUGGUUGCAUAGUCUAUCACUUGUUUCCCUUCCUUGGUGCUAAUCACAACUCCAGGAUUUGGAAAAAAAUUGGAUGACAAUACAUCUGGAUCAUCAGAAAUAUAGAUGGCUCCUCCAAAUUUCGACUCUGAGAUAGCCGCCAUUUGGUCCUCUACUUCUACUGCAUUACUAAAACAAAUCAUAAUGCUACGUCCACCAUUAGGGACUUUGGCUAAUACAUCAGAUGAAUCACAAGGUGAUAUACUUUCGUUGUAAAGCACUGGAAAAUUCUUGAUGAUGGUUUUCACUGGAAACAAGCUAAAUCCAGUAAUAUUUACGCCAUUCCCAAGAGUUAAAGUCCCAUAGAAUGCUCGAUCAGUACUGCAUGACGCCACAGUAAAGAUCCAAGGGACACCAUUAUUUAUAGUUCCCAUUUCAGGGCCACUAUUUCCAGCUGAAGCAGAGAUUAAGACACCUUUCAUCAUGGCACCAAAAGAAGCUAUCGCAAUUGAAUCUUGAUACACUGGAAUCCUAACCCACCCAUAAGAAAUAGUUAUUAUGUCAACACCAUCUGCAACAGCUUGAUCCAUUGCAGCAAUUAAAUCAGAAGUGAAGGUUCCUUCCUCAAAGCUAAACUUAUACACAGCUAUCCUAGCUCGUGGCGCCAUACCUCUUGCUGUUCCAGUAGCAUAUCCAAAAUAUGAAGCGCCUUUAGCAAAAUUACCAGCAGCAAUGGAGGCAACAUGUGUUCCAUGACCUCUAGUAUCCCUUGCAGAAUUCAUUGAAAUAUUCACAGUAGGAUUAUCAGCCAAAAUCCCUUUGUUGAAAUAAUUAGCCCCAAUGAUUUUCCUGUUACACAAUGAAGAAUUAAAAUCUGUUCCUGCCUUGCAAAUUCCCUUCCACCUUUUUGGAAUUUCAGGCAAUCCAUCUUCACUGAAACUAGCAGAUUCUGGCCAGACACCAGAGUCGAGUACACCGAUGAUAACAUCUUGACCAAAACCAGAAGCUGGCCAUAGUCCAGAUGCAGGAUUGAGCUUAAGAAACUCUGAGGUAUGAGUUGUGUGAGCUUCAACACUCCUAUCUUUAUAAGCUGAAAGGAAACCUGCCGAUUUCUCGAGCAAUUCAAGCUCAUGUUUAGACAAAACAGCACUGAAUCCAUGGAUGACAUUGUCA
rnacentral:lncRNA from 1 species